ensembl:lncRNA
CCGCGGACGCCGGCCCGGCCACGUGACCGCGCCCGCUGCGGCCCCAGCUGCAGAUGCCGUCCCCUCCCCCGGGCACUUUUCCAUCAGGCUGUGAGCAGCUGGAUCAAUUUACUCAAGCUCCAGCGCCUAGCACCAGCACGGGCUGAAUUAUUACUCGUGGAAAUCCCCUCUGUUUCAGGAAAUCAGGUAGCUUUCAAACUCCCAACAAUGAAUGGCCCUUUGGGUCCAGGGAGAAUAGCAAAAAAUAUAAAACCAAAAAAAAAAAAAGACUAGGCUACAGGUUUCCAAACAGGCUGUUUGGUUUCUAGUAAAUUAGAGAGUGGGCGGUUGAGGUACCAAGUAAUGUUAUGCUGGGGAGUGUGGUCUUCUUUGACGUCACCAAAAUGUUUCUCCACUGACCGCCCCCCCACCCCGCCCCCAGCCGCCUUUCCCUGCUUUUCCCUCCUCGGCCCGUUUGCACCCUGGUCUUUUUCCUCCCUCCUCCUUCCCUCUUGCUGUCACGGAGACAGAUGACAUAGGGAAGCUCUGGAAAAUCGCUCAGAGUUGUGCAACGGAGCUCGCAGGCUCAGAAAAUUCCCAUAUUUUCAAAAACAAAGGCCAUGAGGUUGGAGGGGCGGCGGGGUGGGGAUGGGUAUAGAUCUUCAGCCACUGUCUCAGCCGGCCAAAAAUCCAUGCGACUCAGGCCAGGAGGGGAGAGGCUGCUAAAAAAACCAGCAGCCGCCACCACUGGCUGUACGUUCCUCCCAUCCUCUCUCCUGAUUAGCAGUUCUGUCUGAGGGAACAUUCUUCCUGUGGCAAAGAACACAUUCUUGCCUCCAGUCGGCUUGAAAUAGAAUCCUGGAGAGCAUGCACCCGCCGCCCUGCUGCUGCAUCCGGGGGAGGGGGAGGCAGCCCCCUCUGCUGUGCACUGAUUUCUCCAGCACCCUCGCCCCCCCGCACCUCUCCCCACCCAGUUGUUUUUCCUAUCCUCACGCAAGGGAGCGACAGCUGCCCCCAUGUUGACAUUGAACGAUCUCGAAUGAGCGUUCCACGGCUACAUAUGUAAGCAUUUGUAGCCUGACCCUGCUAUCUUUUUAUUUCCCCUUUAAGUUGAUUUUGGGGCCCAGUUGUUUCAACAAGGACCGCUGUGGUCACUCCACGGCAGGGUCCCGCCCACAGUCACAUGAUGAGUGUUGGUGGGGCCGGCAAUUCUCUGUGUGGCUAGUAAUUGUCAUGUAGCUCAGCGAGACUGCUUGGUUUCUACAACAUUGUAAAUCAACUGUACUUCCAUUUUAAAAACAUAAAAUGAAAAAAACGUAGAUUCUGAUGCAAAAAAAAAAGACUACUUAAGUUUCUAAAGUCACCUGACUCGUAUUCUUUACCUAGGCAGCUCUUGAAAAGCAGACAUCUGUGUCCAGAUGUCACAUUAGGGAGUAUGGUUCCAGGCAAGGUAGGCUAAGGAGCAGCCCAGGGUACACGUGGGCCUGGUUUUUUCCAUCAGUCUCUGGUGGCUCCUCCCUCCUCCCUCAUCCUUUCUCUGAUCUAGACAGCAAGAACCUCAGAGGACCUUGGAACAGGGAGCGCUUUCUAAAUCAGAGCCUCCAGAUGCUCUUUGCAGGCACUGAGUUCCCCUGAAAAGUCUACUGGCAUUGAAAAAAUACGCUCAUACAAAAAUGGAGGUCACGUGCAUCUAUUCAGAAAUUAGACGUGGAACCAGAAAGACUAAAGAAUUCAUCGUAUGUAUUUGCAGAGGGUGGGGUGGUGCAAGGGAGUGUCAUAAGUGGGUUGGGUGACACUUCUUCAGCAAGGGCACAGACCACGAUCUCUGCUAGCAUAAGUGUUGGGAGGACCAACGAAUGAGCAAGGGGAUGAACGUAAGAAAUGAGCCUGGAACACAAAGAAAGCACAAAGGAGCCCAAAGUUUCUGGGAGGUAAGGCCGAUGGGCUGGGGCAUGUCUGCCAGACAUUGGUUUGAAGGAGAACAGACUUGUAAAGUGUAAACGCAGGGAUUUCCCUGCCUUCCAGUGGUUAAGACUCCACCCUUCCAAUGCAGUGGGCACAGGUUUGAUCCCUGGUCAGGGAACUAAGAUCCCUCAUGCCACACGGCACGGCCAAAAAAAUUUAAAAAUAAAGUUUUUUUUUAAAAGUGUAAACACAAAACGGAGUCUGACAUAAUGACAAGUGACAGUAACAUUAGAUGACACAACACAUCCUAUAUACCAGAUAUUGCAAGUGUCUUACCUGGCACCACUGGCUUAGUCUCUGUAGCACCCUCCAGAGGUGGAAACUCACUGGAGGACCUGUCAGCUCUUUGGGGCACCAAGGAAGAGAUUCCUGUACCUGAAAGAUUUAGGAGGACUGGAAGCAGAUCCAGUCAAUACAGAGCAACCCAUGUGUAUCUUUAAAGUCUGUCCAACCUGCCUGCCUAGUUUUGCCUCCACUGUAGCUUCUGCCUCCACCGGCCAUCGCUGAGAGAGGGUCCCUGCUCCCCUGCUGACUCACGGAGCAGAGAUCCCUCAGAAAGGAAUGAGUUCUGGUCUCCAGGCAGCCAAAGCCAGCCUCCCUGCCUCCACUCUACUGCUCCUUCCUUCUCUCAGAAACGCCAGGCCUUCCACAGAUGCAUCUGAGACUCACUGAUGCUUCCUCCGGGAACACCCCUUCAACACCCCUUCAUCAAGGCCCUGACUUUUCUGGGUGACCUCUGGGCCCUGAUGGAAGCACCCUCCCACCUCCUGGGACCUUUAGGGACCCAGGUAAGCAGAAGUGAUGGCAAGAGCCCUCUCCUCGGGGGCCUCGGGAGACCUUUCACCUUUGCGAGAGGAACAAGAAACAGGUUUCAUCCAGUUGAACUGAUCAUGCCUAGAAGUUCUUGUUUAUGACUUAGAAACAGGCUCUCCAUUCAAGUCGUCACAAGGAUCCUUUACCUCACAUUUCCGCUCAGAAAACACACCUUCUUUAUUUGGGGCCACUUCAGGGGAAGUCUCCUUUGUUCAUGGUCUGCACACUGCCCUACUAAUCGCUUCUCUUUUCUUCCAAACAUGCCAUAUAGUCCUGGUACCAGAGAGACAGCCCUGUGUACGUGUGUGCUCAGUCGCUUCAGUCGUGUCCGACCCUUGGUGACCUCAUGGACUGUAGCCUGCCAGGCUCCUCUGUCCAUGGGAUUCUCCAGGCAAGGAUACUGGAGUGGGUCGCCAUGCCCUCCUCCAGAAAGCAGCCCUGAGACGGCAUAAUUUGAAAUCUCAUCAUUUCAGGUAAAAUGUUUCCCUGAGGGAAGGGGGUUGGAGGAGGAACUUAAACCAUCUGCUUCCUUCUGGUCACCCAGACAAGAAAGGUGACUUUCACUCUGACUUUCCAUCUCCUCCAGCAUCCUAGAACCCACCACCACCCACCCCCAGCCAAAGGCUAGGAUGCCUGUCACCCACCCGUUGACAUUCCAUUAAAAAUUGGGACUAACAACAGGUUCUGGAACACUGCGUCAUAACUCAGCAGGUGUGGGAUCAACCUGGACAAAAGGACAGAACGCUCAGCCACUGCCAGGUGGUUAAGCAAGGGCUUUGCAGAGCUGUUUGGCUGACAGCACACAGACCGAUCUGUGCUCAUGUAAUGGGGCAAAGAUGAAGCAGGUGCCCUAGUGUCCUCCUGACACGGCAAGUUGCCAGCCUCUGCUAAAUACACACACCCACACACACAAACACACACUCAUGACCUCCAGUGUCCCUGAAAAGAUGGCACAUCUCACCAUCAGUGCAGGCUCCCCGCAGCCAGACACGCAUGCAUGCACGCUACAUUGUUUUAGUCGCGUCCGAGUCUUUGCGAUCCUGUGGACCGUAACCUGCCAGGCUCCUCUGUCUGUGGGAUUCUCCAGGCAAGAAUACUGGAGUGGGUUGCUGUGCCCUCUGCCGGGGGAUCUUCCCGACCCAGGGAUUGAACCCGCAUGUCAUGUCUCCUGAAUUAGCAGGCAGGCUCUUUACCACUCGCUCCACCUAGGAAGCCCCACAGCCAGAGAUGCCUGGCUCCAAUUCCAGCAAGCGGUACUCACUCCUGAGCCUCAAGCUCCUCUUCUGUAAAGUGAAGCUAGUAAUACCUCCUUGAGGGGCUGAGCCCAUGCAUAUAAAACUUCAGACUCAGAGUAAGCACUUCAUAACUUGAAUCCAGAACAAUCCCAGAUUGUCAGCAGCAGCAGUUUUCACAUUGGCUUGGUGCUAAAGACAAUAAUAUAGCCACUGCGGACAAAGCAGUUUUUAUGAACCAGGUGUGUUCCAUGCAUUAUCUCAUCUCGACUCACACUAGGCCUGCGAGUUGGGUAGAUAUUGGGAUCCUCAUUUUACAAAUAAGGAUUCUGAGGCUUAGAGAAGUUAAGACGCUUGCCCAGAGUCACACAGUCAGCGGUAAAGAGAUAGCUAACACCGAGGUAAUCCGCGCUUCAGUGCCAGCCCUGAAGCAUGCUCCCUUCACAGGGCUGUGCCGCCUCUUGAUGCAGUUAGCACAAGCCGAGCUCUGCUCUCUUUAAAAGACAAUACAGAGUGCCAAGUGAUUACGCAGAGGGCUGCAGCCUUGCACGUGUGUGUGUGUGCAUGUGUGCGUGCACGUGCCCUUGGCCAAGGGCCACACUUUUAGCCCGCAUACUGGUCUGCCAAAAGCCCAUGUUCAAAUCCCACCUAUUGAAAAGCUCAUCUCCGCUUUGGCAGGACAGGCCCUGAAAAAAUGUCGGAAAUAAACAAGGGCCAUUCAAAAGAACUGAACUGCAUUCAAAUGGGAAAUUCCUUCACAGGAAUAAAACUUCAGAAACCAAACAACCAAAGCCCUCAGAAAACAUCGGUAAUGAUCCAUUAAUUUUAAGUCAUUAGAAACGGAGAGCAAGAAGUAAAUCCAGUUUCUGCAUGGGUAUCCUCACCCCUUCUCUGAGGGAAGUGCUCACAAGCCUGAAAGGGUUGGCUUGAAUAGAGAGGUCACCUCCUGGGGAGCCAGUGGGUGAAAUACACUGGAAAUGUGCCUGAGGGACAAGCAUUUUUUAACACACAGGCUCACAAUGAUGAAAAGCACCCUUCUGGGGACUUCCCUCCUGGUCCAGUGGUUGAGACGCUGAGCUUCCAGUACAGGGGGCACAGGUUCGAUCCCUGGUGGGGGAACUAAGAUCCCACAUGCCUUGAGUUGAGCCAAAAUACUUUUUAAAAUAAAUAAAUUUUAUUUUUUUAAAAGCACUCUUCUGCUCUUUAUCCCUCCACACCCGCUUCAGUUUCUCAAAUAUGGAGACUCCUUUUGAGCUUUUCCUUCUUGGCAAUGCCACACUUGUUAGGAAACCAGUAUCCUGGAAACCGAAGUGGCCUUGGAUGUUGUUCUCUGCUGUGGCAGACCAAACUUUCCUUGCUGAAUCAGACCCCAUAAUAUAUCAACUCUGAGUCACACAUCAGCAGAGGAGCCACUAUUAGGAAGAGAGAGAGUGCCGUGAUAUUUAUCAGUGACUAAAUCGGAGCAAAUAACGAGUGUUGCCUAAUCACAGGGCAUGUUCACAUACAUGACCUUCCUACGAAGUAAGGUCAUAGCUUUGCAGCUCUCAGGAUGGUUUCUAACUGUCAAUAUUUAUAGAACCAGGCACUUACCAACACACGCCAGGAGAGCUGGAUGUCUCCAAGGAUGAGUCAUGCCAAAUGAAGUCUUCUAUCUCGGGGUCACUGCUCCAUCCUCACUGACUAGUCAUGGGAUUAUUGAAAAGCACAUGCAGGAUUGCGGGCCCUGUUCAGUUCUCUGGAAGAACCGACAUUUAUGAAAUUGAAGCCUAGGAGGAGAGGAUGUGGGUUUAAAAGUAUAUUCUGUGCUCAGUUGUUCAGGCACGUCUGACUCUUUGAGACCCCAUGGACCGUAGCCCACCAGGAUUCUGUCCACGGGAUUCUCCAGGCAAGAAUGCUGGAGUGAGUUGACAUGCCCUCCUCCAGGGGAUCUUCCCGACCUAGAGAUCAAACCUGCAUUUCCUGCUUUGGAGGCAGAUUCUUUACCACUGAGCCACUGGGGAAGCCCUAAAAACGUAAAGGGCUAUCUUUUUUUUUUUUUUUAAUCUGCUAGCUAAUAAAUAUAGCUCUGGGUCUAGGGGGAAGUGGCAGAGAGAUGGCACCAAGACCCAAGUCAGCCUCCGCUUGCAGCAAGAUACGUGAUAAGUAGCCUGAGUGGUGUCAAAGCCAUGGCUGGAAAAGUCACCUGCAUCACGCAAGACACACACCAAGGAAGGUGGUGCCACUUGGCUUCGAGGGAGACUGGCCACAGUCUUGGGUAUUUGGGGGUUCUUUAAGGUUAUUUAUUUAUUCAUCUUUGCUGCUGUGUGCAGGCUUUCUCUAGUUGCAGUGAGCAAGGGCUGCUCUUGGUUUUGGUUUGCAGGCUUCUCAUUGAGGCAGCUUCUCCUGUUGCAGAGCGCAGAGUCUGGAGCACCAGCUCAGUGGUUGUCAGAAGUUGUGGUGCACAGGCUUAGUUGCCCUGCAGCCUGUGGGAUCCUUCCAGACCAGGGAUCAAACCCAGGUCCCCUGCAUCUUAACCACUGGACCACCAAUCCCCAGCUUGGAUAUUUGAACCUCCUAGAACACCUUGCAUGUGGUCCCGUGCUCGGUGAAUGUGUUGAAAGCUUGUACCAGUUUGCUGGGGCUGCCAGAACAAAGAACCACAGCCUGGUAGCUUAACCAGGAAACAUGUAUGUUCUCCCAGGGCUGGAUGCUGGAAGUCCACGAUCGAGGAGUCAGCAAGCCGCUGGGCCAAGACCAGCAGCCGCUUCCAAGGGGCAGCUCGGUGACCAGUGCUCGGAAAAGCUGAGGCUCUGCAGAAGGGCUAGCAGGACCGAACCACCAAGACCCACUUCCCCGAGGUGCCCCACCCCCUGCAUUUUCCAAAGUAAAGCUUCACGUCUUGUGACAGCCCCGUUCCUGUCCUGUGCUGCCCUUGGCUGGGUUAUUUUUCACUUCCCUGUUCAGAACACAGCCACACUUUCCAAAUGCCAUGAAUCAUCACCACGAAGCAACGGCCAUUCAGCCAGGCAGGAAACCACGGAGGAGCAGACCUAGGAGGAACAGCAAUCCUGCAGCUGACUCUGGUGCGGCUGGGCAUCCUGAGGCCACCAUAGAGACUGGAUGGAGCUGCCACUCUCGGGACCCAUUCUCCUCCAUCGUCUGCCACGGCUGUCCUCCACUCUCUGAUCCACCCUUGCACUGAGUUCCAGGCAGCAUUUCUGACUUUGUUCUUACGGCUUUCUUGGUUGUGUUGGCUAACGUGAAGCUGUCAUCUUCCAGUCCUGGGAGGGAGAGAAAUGGGCAGAUCCAUUCAAGACCCAGGAAGCUGGGACUUCCCUGGUGGUCCAGUAGUUAAGAAUCCACCCUCCAGUGCAGGGGACCCGGAUUCAAUCCCUGGUCUGGAAACAGGGAUCCCACAUGCUGCAGGGCAACUAAGCCUGCGCGCUGCAACUGACAAAGUCCUUGGGCUCAAACAAAGUGGCUGAGCAGCCUGCAAGCAGUACUGCAAGAAUGUUACAAAGGUCAUCCCUGUCAUCCAAGCCUCUUGAUGACCGAAACCAUGUGGCCUUCCAGAUGCCAUUCAGUAAGCACCCGAAAGUAGUCACCAGGGAGCCUAUGAAUAAAUCAAUCAACGAAAGAGUCUCGUCCUCAAAGAGCUUCAAACUGUCCUGUGCUAGGCAACUGGCUCCUCUGAAUAAUUCUGCUUCUGGUCAGGAACCAAAUGAUUCCUGCAGUGGGAUCCUGCUCUUCAACAGAGACCACCAAGGAAGUUGGGAAACACAUAAAAGGAAUUUGCUUCACUUUUUCAUUGAACAACAAGUCCUUUGAAUUCCUAAUUGGAAACUUUCACACAUGAAUUGAGGUGGUUGCAACUCAUUUCCUGCAGUCCUGCUCCCCUCCUUCAUUUGGAGCAAAAUAAUUGUUGAUGUGUGGGGCGUGACCUUUGACCUCUGAUGGCUGCCUGCAAUCUACUUUCCUAGCUCAUUUGCAUAAAGGGCGUUAGAAACCCUCUGGCACCUUCUUCUCUUCUCACAUAAAAUUCUGACUUCCUUGAUCUACUAGGGAGUAAAACAAGAUCUCAAGA